AAAAGUAGUUUAUUAAAAACAAUAAAUUGCAAGUUUAAAAUUAAUUUAAGAAAUCAAUUUAUGAUG
rnacentral:tRNA from 1 species